rnacentral:rRNA from 1 species
UACGAGGGGGGCAAGUGUUGUUCGGAAUCACUGGGCGUAAAGGGAGCGUAGGCGGGCUCUUAAGUUGGAUGUUUAAAACCGGGGCCCAACCCCGGCGUGGCAUCCAAAACUGGGAGUCUUGAAUGGAACAGAGGCUAGUGGAAUUGGAGGUGUAGCGGUGGAAUGCGUAGAGAUCCGGAAGAACACCGGUGGCGAAGGCGGUCUGCUGGGCAGUAGCUGACACUGAGGCGCGACAGCGUGGGGAGCAAACAGG